AAGAGCUGGCCAGCCAGGCAUGCAUGGGCCCCCAGGACUCCGGGGGUCACGGCCCCAGCUUCUCAGCAUCCAGGUGCCCGGAGCUGUGCUCUGCACCGAGAGGGUUUCAGGCUGGACCUGGAACCCACCUAUGGACUGCACGGGAAGGGCUCUCAGGGAGAAAGGAGGAGUGCACAGGGGACACUAGUGCCACCUGCUCCGGCCACAGCAAGGCCCCACGACGGCAGAGCUCCCGGCAUCCUCUGGCCCUUUUACUGGGCCGCCCCUUGCCCUGGAGGUGCAGACCAGCAUUUAGCCCUGACACGCCCUGCAGGGUGGCCUUAGAACCCCCACACAGCCCAAGGCUGUCCCAUUAGGGCCGUGAGUGCCUCUCAGCGCUGCGUCUGCCCACGCGUACUUCUAUCACACGCUGGCUCCCGGCCAUGCUCUCGCCCACUCCAGCCCACAGUGGCGCCACACCGAGAACCGACAAUGGAACAAACGCCAGGCAGGCAGGCCCCUGACUUCAUCCCGUAGACAUGCUUCUGUCUGAUCGCGUGCAAAGUAAACACAUGUAGAACAAACCCCAAGUCACUGCGGACUUCUCUUCUAAACUGGCCACAAACUACUACGUGAAAAAUAGAAGAACUCCAGUAUGUAGAGCCCUUUUGAAGAGGAGAAUAAGCCCGUCUGAUCAGGUCAAGUCCACCACCGCGCCCCCCAGCCCCCGGGACAGGGAGCACACAGGGCAUGCUCACAGGGGGUGGGGUCAUCUCAGGGACCGUCCUAGCAUUCUGUCCACCACACCACCCACAGGGCCAUCGCCAGCAUUGAACUCAGGACGCUAGCUGGUGUGUGUGAGACUGGGGUCCCGGUCUCCUGGCUCCACAGCGGUGCACUUGGGGACCUAUCUGGUCUCUCCUUGUAGCCUGCCAUAGCUCAUGGUGGGUUUCAUCCCCUGCCUCCCUGUGCUGCGAGAGAAGCCACACCCUCCCCUCCCAGUACUUGCUACAGUGGCGGCUCCGUCCUCUAGAAUGGUCCCCAAAUCCCCCUGGCUGUCACAUCCUGUGACACUCUCCCACAAUGCAUAGUCUGGCCUGGGUAACAAGCAGGGUGUGGCAGAGAUAACA